AGAGAAUGAGAGCGGAGAUUGAGGAAGAAGUGGGGGGACAAAGGGAAAGAAUUAAACCCAUCAAGAUGAUGCCGCAUCCCCUCGUUUCGUGGGAGGGGAAGGUGAAUCCGUAAAAGGCUCUGCCUGUUCCCCAGCCGAUCGAUUGAUGUUGAAGUGUUUACCUCACAAAGGGCUGCAUAAACGGCUCGGCAGCUCGCGCUUUAUGCAGAACAUCGGGUGACUCUUUCGCAGGUCUCCAUUGAUGUUGCUUGUUUCACGCGAGAAGGAAGACGCUAAUCCCCUUGAUGUGCACCAAGCGGAGAGGAGGCACAUCCACACAUGAGACGCACACGUACCCGAGACUCAUCUUUAUGUGCAAGAGUGGAAAAAGAGACGGCUUGAGUCUCCACCAAAUCCCUAAAAGCUGUCAUUGACUUCAAACACUAUGAAUUCUUUACAGUAGAGUGCCUCUGCUGAGCGACAGAGCUGUCUGCCUUUAUUUUUCCAUAGGAUCCUUUUGAUACGGCCUCAGCCGUCCAGAAUCUGUGCCUCAUUGUAUAAGGACCAAGGCUAUUUAAAUUCGCCUGAAAGGAAGCCGGAACAGGGACAGUCACACUGACGCCUCGUCAGACUGAAACUUUUAUGGAAUUCCUGAAGAUGAGAAAACAGAUUUCAGUCAACGUUACAUAUUCACAUGGCAGAAAGAGAAACUGUGACUACACUACGCAUCACUCCACUGAAUGAUCAUUUACCAACUUAAACGGCAAAUUCAUUUUCAUGAAGCAUGUGUAAUUUAUGAGUGGCGUGGGAUUGCGAGCGUCUAUCAGUGUCAGAGUGACACGUGUGGGGCGAUAAUCUAUUCCGUGACCCAAAUUUAUGCGGCGAAAAUCUACAAAAACCGCUAUCCAGCCCUCCCAUCCGAUUUCACAGCGCAUCACUGUCAGCGCGAUAUAUGCUGCGCACGCUUGUGUGUGUGCGCGCGCCUCUGAAGGAGAGGCGCAUGAUAAAAGGAGCGUGUUAUCCAUCUUAUCCAGACGAGAUGUUUUGAAAGGAAUUCUGUUAUUAAUAAAUUCAUGAGAGCCAAAAGAAAAAGGAACAUUCUGCGGCUUUGCAAAAAUUAUUGAAAGAAAAAAAAUGGUGGGGGGGAUGUGCGCUCCUUGUUAGCAUUCUCUUAGACACUAGAUGCGCUAGGAGGUAUGUUCUCAUUGAGAGGCAUAUUAUCUCUGGUCAGCUUUCCUAUCUAUUAUUCACAGCUCUGUGAGAAACACUGGUGGCUAGACGAACAGCAGUCACUUACAAUAUAUCCCGGAGCAACGGCGCCCCUAUUCAUGUGCAAAAGAAACCUUAAUAACCACGGCCGCAGAUAGAGGAGAGGCUGUGAAGUUGGCAAAAGCUUGUGAUUGCUUUGAUUUCCAGGACUUCUGUGGAUUCAACACAAACAAGAUUUAAACCAUAAAAAAGGGCCGAUUUUUCUAAUGUAAUAUUCACUGGCAGGUAAUGUAUGGGUAUUGUGUAGUGGAGAUGUCCAAUAAAAGGGAAUCUUAUUUGUGCUUCUCUCUUUUUUUUGUCAUCUGUUAUAAUCUGCAGCUGACUUUACAGACAACAAACAACUCGUGCAGCUUAGCGCUUUAUUGAAAACCUGCAGGACAAUGAAGGAGAGCGCCAGUCCUACGCGUCCACUGGUGUCCAAGGGAUGAUUGAGGAUUGGUGCUUGAAAUGUUAAUAAAUUGAAGGGGGAAAUUGCCUCGUGUUUAUCUGUAAUAUGAAAAAAACACCUCUGCUGUGAUCCCCCUCGCCGCAUGCUCUAAGCUUCUAAACACACCGAGUGGCAUUUCAAAUGCAAAUUCCCCAUUGUGCGUUAGCUUAUUAGAUAAUAUGUAAACACAAUAUGUGCCAUGCAUGUGGAGGAUGAAAUAUGUGACUCCACACUGUCGAACACAUCAUUUUUUGUGAGACUGAUUGUUAUAUAAUGUAAGCAAGCCUCAAUUUUACAUAUAAGGUUGAGCCAUGUUGGUGUCUACCUUUGAUGAAAAGUUUUUAAAUAAACAGUGUUCCUACAACUGCUAGCUUAUGAGCUUUUCUAAAUCUGGUUGUAUGGAAACACAUUUGCCUUUGAGUGUUGUCUUAGCAGGGAGUGAAUAUUUAACAGACCAAAUAGUCUUUCUUUUUCUUUUUGCUUUUUAGGUACUCGGCUGCUGUCUGUUGCUAUGCAACCGCAUCCUCCAAUCCACCAAAUUGUCAGGUUCAGGGCCAAUUUCCCCUCCUCCCCCCGUUUUUCUCCCUAAAAAAAAAAGAAAUAAAAAAGACUUUGUACAUGAACUGAGGUGUGCACGGUGCAGUACCACCCCUCAGGAGUUCUCAUUUAAAUAAAUUCCAAUAUUUGAGGUCUCCCCAAAUAUUAAAAUUUUCCACAGCUGCCUUUUAUGCAUUUUUUUUCUGCCUCACCUUUGUUCAGCACACAUCCGGUUUAUUCUGCGCUCGCACGCUGGAGCCGCCUGGCAAUUUCUGCUCUUGUUCUCCCCCUUUUUCUGCUGUGUUCUUUUCAUUAAAAAUCAUUCUUCCUCA
ensembl:lncRNA